GUAAUUUUGUUUGAAUAAGGUGCUUGAGACAGAGACGCAGCAUAAGCAUAUAGCAAGAAGAAGAAGAAGUAGUAGUUGAAAGAAAGAUGAGCGACGAGGAAAGAACGAAGCAAAUAGCGGAGCUGAGCAAAAGCCUGAAAGAAGGAGAGAGAAUCGUGGGCCCAACGAGACGGCCCGACGGAACCCUCCGCAAGCCCAUUCGAAUCCGCGCCGGUUACACCCCUCAAGACGAAGUCGCCAUUUACCAACCCAAAGGAGCACUCCUGAAAAAGGAGAUGGGCUCGGCUGGGCCUCCCGGCUACGACCCCGACGCCGAUUCCAAGCCCAAGCCCAAGACCAAGUCCGUCAAGAGGAACGAGAGAAAGAAGGAAAAGCGCAUUCAGGCUGCGCUUGAAAAGGAAAAGAAUGUGAGUGAAGUUGAAGAGAGUGGGAAGCAGGAAUUUGUGGAGGCAUUGACCUCGCAGGUAAAUGAACUCGCUGUGCAAGAUUCCCAAGCUCAAGAUAUUGAUAAAAGAAUUCGAGCUCUCAGAAAGAAGAUUCGACUUACAGAAGCAUUGGAGCAGAAAAGUACAGAGCAGAAUCUGAAGCCAGAGCAGUUGGAAAAGCUAGCAAAAUUAGAAGAUUGGCGUAGGGAGUUAAAGCUAUUGGAAGAUGAGAAGGGUGAAACAACCGUAUCAUGAACAAAGUUUUCGAAAUUGCAUGACAACAAUGUGUAGUUUUAUCCAUGUCUUCUUGAUAGAUAUAUUCCAUGGAAACAGCUGCAGGAAAUGUCGUGAGUGCAGUUUGAGUCCCAAAAAGGGCCCUACAGCCCAGCUAAUCAUUUCUCACUUGUACAUUUCCUGGUCAGUAUAAUUUUCUGAAAAUUAUUACCUCCUUGGGCCACGUAAUUUUCCUAAGCUCAUAACUAUUUGCUGUAAAACUUUGUUGGGCUAUCCACUCUGAAGCCUGAAUUAGUAUGAGUGGAGGAAGUUGUGGCUUCAUGUGGUAAUCUUAACGGUGUUCGAUUUCUUGAUUGAGUACAUUUGGUUUAUGGAAAUGUCCUUUUUAAUUGCCCUCGACUGA